AUUCAAAUGAGGAAUUGAAGCUCAGAAAGGUCAAGUGACUAGCGCAAGGUCACACAGCCAGUGAGGGCAAGUGCAAACCCAGCCAGCCUAACUCCUAAUCUUCUCUUUUAAUUCCAUUACAUAAUGACACCUCUCAUUUGCUUCAGAAAUCCCUGUUGUAAAGAUAGAUGCAACUAGCAUGAUCCGUGUUGUUAGGAAAGGCAUGUGAUUAAUUUUAAAUAGAUAUAGUAUUUAACACCACCAGAUGAGUCUCCCUCUGAAAAAGCACACAAAAACAAAACAAAACGCUGACAUAGUUUCCGCAAGUCACGAGGCAAUUAUGCUAAUUAGCAACAAGCCUCCAUCCCUAAGCAGAAUAGUUCUUGUGUGAAACAUAUCAUUUAAUCUUUAUAACCCUGAUGUGACCUAGAUGAUUUGGUCUAAACCCCACAAUCCUAUUGUGUGGCUUAGUUAUAUCUAUAAAUAUAGAACCUGUUUUACUUCAUUUUUGUGUCAGGUGGUUUGAAGGGGGGAAACAUACAAUGCUCUGCUAAGUAAUUAGAGCUACUUACGCAGGCAUUGGGGAAUCUGAAACUUAGCUUCUAAUUGUCUCCACAUAAAAACAGAAGUUAACUUCUAGGGACAUCUUCAGGGACUCCUCAAGGCAAAUAUUCAUGAAAUGGGGCCUAUUGGCUUUUCUUUUCAUCUUGGUUCUGGGCAUGUUGCCAUGUUCCUGAUCUCUGAACUCUGAUGCUGACCUGCUACAGACUCCAGGAGCAAUAUUAAGGAUAAAAUAAUAACUCACAUAACUUUGUGGCUCUUUAUUCUAAAAAAAAAAAAAAAAGUUGGCUCAAUUUUUUUUCCUCCAUAAGAAAAUGCAAAUUGCAACUGUAUUGAGAAACCAUUUUUUCACUUAUCAGAUUGUCAAAGAUUAGAAAGUUUGAUAAUCACAGUGUUGGUAAAAGUGUAGACUAGCAGUCACAAUGAAAAUGUAAAUGUAAAUUAUAAUGACCUCCCUAGGGGGAAGGUCAGGAUACCUAACAAUAUUGCAACUAUACGUAUAAGAGUUUAUCUUGGCCCUGCGUGGUGGCACGGUGACUCAUGCCUGCAAUCCCAGCACUUGGGGAGGCCGAGGCGGGCAGAUCACCUGAGGUCAGGAGUUGGAGACCAGCCUGGCCAACAUGGUGAAACCCUGUCUCAACUAAAAAUACAAAAAUUAGCCAGACAUGAUAGCAGGCGCCUGUAAUCCCAGCUACUUGGGAGGCUGAGGCAGGAGAAUCCCUUGAACCUGGAAAGCGAAGUUUGCAGUGAGCCGAGAUUGUGACACUGCACUCCAGCCUGGGCAACGCACCGCGACUCUGUCUCAAAAAAAAAAAAAGAGUUUAUCUUACAACACACAGGAGAAAUGGCAUCUAGAACACUGAGAAAUCCAGGAUGGACACUUAACACUACCAAAGAUUGAUCUAUUUUGGAGUUAGUUCUUUAGAUCAGAGGUCCCCAACCCCAGGACUGCGGACUGCCACUGGUCUUUGGCCUGUCAGGCACCCGGCCACACAGCUGGAGUGUGAAAAAAAAGGAAAAAACUGAAAAUCUCAAGAGGAUUCCAGGAAAUCAAAACAAUGAAUUAUUGAAUCAAGAAUUUGAAAGAGAAAAUAGAUGCAUACUGAAAAAAGAAUUUUGUUUAGUGAGAUAGAUGUAAUAAUGAAGGCAUGUUGAUAACGGGGGAGCUAUGUAUAUAUGAGGGGAGGGAUAUAUUGGAAAUCUCUGUAUCUUCCUCUCAAUCUUGCUGUGAUCCUAAAACUGCUCUAAAAAAUAUUUUGAGAAGGAAUAAUGAUGUGGUAAACAUGUUCUGUUAUUUAAAAAGAGAGACUUUUCAUAGCCGCCUCCCUCCCCCUCUACACACACACAGAGUCCUGUCCGUCUUCAUUCCCUUACUCAAUAAUUUGUACAGACACAGCCACUGGGCUCCAGUAAUCCUAAAGUUUCUAGAAAAUCAAGCACAGAAAAAGGUUAAAACCCUGAGGGAAUAAAAGAAUUCCUUUGCAUCCAUUGCAUUUCUCAGGAAGUGAACUAACAAAUUCACUGCUUUUAAAUGAGGAAAUUUUCUCAGUGAAAUUGAUUCCAAACCUUCGUUAGGUCAACUGUUCCCAGAUUUCUUAGCUGAUGCCUGAUCUGACUAUUCCUUAUCUUUAGUACAGAAACCAAGGUGAAUGACCUUUAAAAAACAUAUUAGACUGUUGACGUGUCUUCUAUGUUGUACUCUAGGUAAAAACGAUAAACCAGGAAAAAGAAAGUAAAAUUCAACCUUAGGCUCAUGGAUCCAGAGUGGAUAAUUAUGAGUCUGUAGUAUCUACAUGCAUGUGAUGAGGUUCAAGGACAAUAACCAUAAAGCAAAGACUUAAAAGGUUUUAUCAUUAGAAUAAUUGUAAUUCACUUGAUCUCUCAAUGUAACAAUACUUCGGUCUACUGUCUCAAGCCAUUAUUAUGUCUUACACUCAGCAUAUUGGUUUGUCUACCAUUAAAUAUUUAUUUUCUACAGUGCUUUCUGGAAGGCAAACAAAGCAGCCACUCUGCUACUUUAUAUUGAUUCCUGAGUUGUCCUUCGGAAACGCUUUCAGGAAGUUUAAUAGGUUUGAAAGAUAUUUAGACCUGUGACUGGCAAAUAUACUUCCUUCUUUUUAUUUCAAUAAGAGAGUACUAGAACUUAGAUCUUUAUUGUUUAAUCUAGUCAGUGCUGUCAUUGUCAAUCAAGUUCUCAAAUGACACUUGUCCUGAGCUGUAACUGAUCUAUUCAGAAGAAUAUGAAAAUAGUAAAGACGGCAACUAUGCAUGUUUUUACCGGACACGAUUUUAAUUGCUUUAAAAUGAAGUUAUGCAACCAAUGAGGAAUGGAGCUUUUGGAGUGGCCUGAAGCUAAAGGUUUCAGGUGUAUUUUUGCUUUCUUUGAAGAAAGAACCAAAUCAUUUUAUUUAAUAAAAAGGCCAUUUAUCAAGAAUUUCUUAAAGCUGUUUUAAACCUGAGUUUGCAAUUUAUAGAAUAUGUUCAAGCAGCCUCAGUGCCCUUUUAAUUGGAUGGUUUUCACAGAUUUAUCCAAUUUGAGAUUUAUCCAGUGAGAAUUCCCUUUGUUCAAGUAUAUAUGUCUUCUCUUCCAUAAAGCAGAUUCAAAUGAAAGAGUGCAAUCUGAUAUAUCAGACAUGUCAGUUAUACAUUUGAUGUGGUAAAUUUAUAAGAGAGGCCAAUUAUUGUUAUGAAAAAAUACAAUGAAAUACAUGAUAGUCAUUUACUGUUUUUAUAACUAAUCUAAAAGUAUUUACUAAAAAGAAACUAUUUCUUUUCAUAUGUACUUUACUUUUUACUUUAACCCUUCAUAUGUCCUUUAAAUAAAGAGAAGAAAAAAAGUCA
rnacentral:lncRNA from 1 species